rnacentral:ncRNA from 1 species
UCUGAGGACUGAGCCGGUCGGGCUGGGGACCUGAAGCAGGAACGGCACUGCACCGGGACUGGGCGGGGCUCGCCGUUCACGCGGCGCGGCCAAGCCCGGACCAGCGUCGGGACCUUCCUGUGGAAAGCCUCAGCUGCGCGGCGUCUGAGGGCUUCGUGCCCAAAGUGCUAUGCUUCGGCCGGCAAAAAACAGUCAACUCAGAACUGGCACGGACCGGGGGAAUCCGACUGUCUAAUUAAAACAAAGCAUUGCGAUGGCCGCUGGUCGGUGUUGACGCAAUGUGAUUUCUGCCCAGUGCUCUGAAUGUCAACGUGAAGAGAUUCAUCAAAGCGCGGGUAAACGGCGGGAGUAACUAUGACUCUCUUGUGUCUUGUUGGACACGAGGGGGUUGCCCUUGGAGGGGUUGUUCUCUAGCGAGAGUGGCAUGCACGCCACUUGUUCGCUUGGAGAACCAUGGUUGCUUGCUUAGCGCAAAAUCCGACUCCCACCU